rnacentral:misc_RNA from 1 species
AAAAAUUCUCCUGGGUAUCAAGCUCCACAUUCUGUGGAACAACCCAAGGAACAGUAUCCACAACAGCAGCAGCAACCCAGACAAUCACGUGGUCCAAACAAUGCUGUUCGUGAUGAUUCAUAUGCCCGAGGACGUGGUCGUGGUAGAGGGAGAGGGCGAAACUGGGGCAGGGGUGGAUAUGGGUAUGGAAAUUAUCAGGGAAACUAUCAGGGGAAUCAUCAAGGAAACUAUCAAGAUAAUGGUGGU